GACGAAGAAGUCGCAGGUGUGUCUUCUGAAAGAAGGCUGUCAUACCUUAUGUUUGUUUAGCACCCGGCUGAGGAACAAGGUGACUGGAUCAGAGGCUGGGUUUGGCUUCCAACACACUGCAUGCUCUGACCAAAGCUGUUAUUUUGGCCUCCAUCCACAAUUGGCAGCUCACCCUCCUCAUCAUGUUGUCACCGCAGCAUUUUCUGCUUGACUGCACCAUCCCAGAAAAAUAAACCGAGUAGAGGAGGCAGAGGAAGAGGAUAUGAAGAAAAUCCAAAAGAGUUGGAGAGUGCGUUGGCUGACGGAAAUAAAGCAUAUCAAUCACUGUGGUGAGAUGUCCUCACAAUGAGGCAUCCUCAGUAUUGAAUAGUGAGACCUAUUGUGCUUCAACCCUGACUGACACACAUCUAAACUAGACCUGCAGCACCUGUGAUUCAAGCUGUCACAAGUUGUUGAAUCACCUCAUGUUGUCCUUAUCAACGCACAUGUCUCAUAAUUUGCAAAAAAGAC